GUCAGGUUGGCGGAGCGGUCUUAGGCACCAGAUUUAAGCUCUGGUUCCCAAACGGGAGCGUGGGUUUGAACCCCACACCUGACA
rnacentral:tRNA from 1 species